GACGAACGCUGGCGGCGUGCUUAACACAUGCAAGUCGAACGGAAAGGCCCCUUUGGGGGUCCUCGAGUGGCGAACGGGUGAGUAACACGUGAGUAACCUGCCCUUGACUUCGGGAUAACUUCAGGAAACUGGGGCUAAUACCGGAUAGGAAUCCUUGCUGCAUGGUGGGGGUUGGAAAGCUUCGGCGGUUUUGGAUGGACUCGCGGCUUACCAGCUUGUUGGUGGGGUAGUGGCUUACCAAGGCUUUGACGGGUAGCCGGCCUGAGAGGGCGACCGGCCACAAUGGGACGGAGAUACGGCCCAGACUCCUACGGGGGGCAGCAGUGGGGAAUAUUGCACAAUGGGCGGAAGCCUGAUGCAGCAACGCCGCGUGCGGGAUGACGGCCUUCGGGUUGUAAACCGCUUUCAGCAGGGGCGAAGCUUGUGGUGACGGUACCUGCAGAAGAAGCACCGGCUAACUACGUG
rnacentral:rRNA from 1 species